CGCGAGGAAGGACCGGAACUCUGGGCGGGCGGCUUGUUGAUAAUAUGGCGGCGGGAGCUCUCUGGGCAUCAGGAGGAGGCGGUGGGGCCCACACCCGGAAGGGUCUCUUUUCGGGCUAGUGCGGCGAACGCUGCGGACCCGGAAGUCCGGGCCGGUUGCUGAAUGAAGGGAGCCGGGCCCUCCCCGCGACAGUCCCCCCGCGCCCUCCGCCCCGACCCGGGCCCCGCCAUGUCCUUCUUCCGGCGGAAAGUGAAAGGCAAAGAACAAGAUAAGACCUCAGAUGUCAAGUCAAUUAAAGCCUCAAUAUCCGUACAUUCCCCACAAAAAAGCACUAAAAAUCAUGCCUUGCUGGAGGCUGCAGGACCAAGUCAUGUUGCAAUCAAUGCCAUUUCUGCCAACAUGGACUCCUUUUCAAGUAGCAGGACAGCAACACUUAAGAAGCAGCCAAGCCACAUGGAAGCCGCUCAUUUUGGUGACUUGGGCAGAUCUUGUCUGGACUAUCAGACUCAAGAGACCAAAUCAAGUCUUUCAAAGACCCUUGAACAAGUAUUGCAUGACACUAUUGUCCUCCCUUAUUUCAUUCAAUUCAUGGAACUUCGGAGAAUGGAGCAUUUGGUUAAAUUUUGGUUAGAAGCCGAGAGUUUUCACUCUACAACUUGGUCCAGAAUAAGAGCACACAGUCUGAACACAGUGAAGCAGAGCUCAUUGGCUGAGCCCGUCUCUCCAUCUAAAAAGCAAGAAACUGCAGCAUCUUCUGUAACCCAGUCUCUUGACAAGAGAUUAGAGGAUUCUGGUUCAGCCCAAUUGCUUAUGACUCAGUCAGAAGGAAUUGACCUGAAUAAUAGAACUAGCAACACUCAGAAUCACUUGCUGCUUUCCCAGGAAUGUGACAGUGCCCAUUCUCUCCAUCUUGAAAUGGCCAGAAGAGGAGCUCAUCAAGUUUCCAUAGAGACCCAAGAAUCCUCCUCCAGAUUUACAGUAGCCAGUAGAAAUAGUUCCUCUUCUCCACUAAAAGAAUUAUCAGGAAAACUAAUGAAAAGUAUAGAACAAGAUGCAGUGAAUACUUUUACCAAAUAUAUAUCUCCAGAUGCUGCUAAACCAAUACCAAUAACAGAAGCAAUGAGAAAUGACAUCAUAGCAAAGAUUUGUGGAGAAGAUGGACAGGUGGACCCCAACUGUUUUGUUUUGGCACAGUCCAUAGUCUUUAGUGCAAUGGAGCAAGAGCACUUUAGUGAGUUUCUGCGAAGUCACCAUUUCUGUAAAUACCAGAUUGAAGUGCUGACCAGUGGUACUGUUUACCUGGCUGACAUUCUCUUCUGUGAGUCAGCCCUCUUUUAUUUCUCUGAGUACAUGGAAAAAGAGGAUGCAGUGAAUAUCUUACAGUUCUGGCUGGCAGCAGAUAACUUCCAGUCUCAGCUUGCUGCCAAAAAGGGCCAGUAUGAUGGACAGGAGGCACAGAACGAUGCCAUGAUUUUAUAUGACAAGUACUUCUCCCUGCAGGCCACACAUUCUCUUGGAUUUGAUGAUAUUGUAAGAUUAGAAAUUGAAUCCAAUAUCUGCAGGGAAGGUGGGCCACUCCCUAACUGUUUUACAACUCCAUUACGUCAGGCCUGGACAACCAUGGAGAAGGUGUUUUUGCCUGGCUUUUUGUCCAGCAAUCUUUAUUAUAAAUAUUUGAAUGAUCUUAUUCAUUCAGUUCGAGGGGAUGAAUUUCUGGGAGGGAAUGUUUCACUAACUGCUCAUGGUUCUGUUGGCCCUCCUGAGGACUCUCACGCAGGUGUUUCUGACAGCUCAGCUUCUCAGUCCAGUGUGAAAAAAGCCAGUGUUAAAAUUCUGAAAAAUUUUGAUGAAGCAAUAAUUGUGGAUGCUGCAAGUCUGGAUCCAGAAUCUUUAUAUCAAAGGACAUAUGCAGGGAAGAUGACAUUUGGAAGAGUCAGUGACUUGGGGCAGUUCAUCCGAGAAUCUGAGCCUGAACCUGAUGUAAAGAAAUCAAAAGGAUCCAUGUUUUCACAAGCUAUGAAGAAAUGGGUUCAAGGAAAUACUGAUGAGGCCCAAGAAGAGCUAGCAUGGAAGAUUGCUAAAAUGAUAGUCAGUGAUGUUAUGCAGCAGGCACAAUAUGAUCAACCGUUAGAGAAGUCUACAAAGUUCAUUCGACCCAUGCAGUUCAAACUAGUGUUGUUCAAGAAUCAACUGGCAGUUGAGAAUCUGUGUAUGCAGAGGGCUAACAAGUCAUAUAUGGAUUUUCAACUCUGCAAGCAGUCGUCGCCCCUAACCCCAGCAUCGUUCAAGGGUCAGCUUGUACUAUAAGAAGCCUACUUUAAAUAUAAAGACAUCAGUUAAAAGGAUGGAAAAGAUAUACCAUGCAGACACUAUCAAAGUAAGCUGGAAUGGCUUUAUUACUACAAGUCAGAGUAAACUUCAAAACGAGGAAUACUACCAGGCACAAAGAAGAACCUUUUGUAUAAUAAAAGCUAUGACUCAAUACCUGAGAUAAAGGAAAUCGGCUUUUGAAAAAUAAGAGAACUUUUUUCUUUUGGUUGGAUUCUUCAACACAGCCAAUGAAAACAAAGCAUUGUAUUUCUUUUCACUGAUAUAUCUGUUGUUCUGAAGAAUGACAGACAAUCCUAGACUUCCACCAUAAGCAGAGUGACAUGUAGGCAUUUGCUGCACAUGAUGUUCGCACAGUGAAAGUCAUAAAGAGACAAGUGGUAUUGUUUACAUUACUAGAAAAUUAGUUGUUUUUCAGUGGCAAUAACCCAUUUAUUAGAGAGUUAUAGUCCACUGGAAUAGGCAGGGACCACAUACUGUGGGAGGCAGAUAAAUAAAUGUAGAGCUGAUAUUUGCUGGACAUUCUGUAGCAGUAACCCACCUUUAACAGCAUAAAGCAGGUACCAGAAAUGCUUUGUUUUGGCCUCUUAAAACUAACAGGGGAGUCAGCCCCUCCAAAAGCUAGGCAGCUCAGAGUGGCAGUGUGGUGCUAGCCAGUCGUUUUUCUUCAGUGGAACAGGGUGAAGGCUCAUUGCAUAGUGUUCCUUCACAAGACAUUAAUUUAAAAGGAAGCUGACAGGUCAUGGGUCAAGUCUCAGUGACAUUGUCCUUCCUUUUGAUGACAGUAUACAAUUUUCACAUUUUAAUUGCUCCUGAGAUACAGUACACUUAAAGCCAGUCUAUCCCCUGCUAACUAAAGAGUGAAUAUCCUUUCUUUUAAGCAUUAGGACUUGCUCCUCUGGAAUUCUGUGCUCCAGGUUAUUUAACUUUCCCUUCAGGAUACAUGUGGAAAGGAAUAAACAACAGUCACUCCAGUGUUGCCCCUGUGGUAUCUUGAACAAAAUGUUUAUUCCUAGAUUAUAUGAUUUUUUUAAGAAGGUGGGCAGGCACGGGUUGGGGAGAGGAAAAGCACUCAAUUUUGACUGCCUCCUCUUUCUUUACUGUGAGCUGGGAAGUGUGCUGUUGGUGGCCUUUAUUCUUUCUGUCUUUAGGACAGUAAGAGACUCCCUCAUCUCACUUAAACUCAGUUGGCUUCUGGGUCUGAACUGCACUGCUUCAGCAAGGCUACCCUAUUGGUGAACACACUCCACUGGCCAGGCGGUGCCAAUGCUUUGACUGUUUUAAGAGAAAGAACAUUCUCUUGGGCGUUACUGCUUUUGCUCAGACGUUGCAAAAAAAAGUAUAUAAAUAUAUAAAUAUAUAAUUAUUAAUCACUUCUGUCCUUGAGAAAGUCUUGAAUAAAUAGAAAAUUUAUUCCAUUGCAAUAUUUGAUUAUAUAGAGGCACACUGUUUCAUCAACAGAAGAAACAAAAAGGCUGUGUAUAAGUUUUUGGUACUAUGUACCACCUCUGUUAUUCUUCUAAAACUGAAGUAUUCAUGUACUUAAACCGUAUUCUAUUUAAUUGUGUUUGAUUUAAAAUAUAUAUAUAUAUAUAUGAAUUAUAUUUAAAAUUGUGUCAACUUUCUGCUUUCAGGGCAUUUAUGGCUCUUCUAUUAAAAUGUAUUGAUUCUUUCAAAUAGUUCCAUUUGCUUUACAGAAACCCAGAACAUGAGCCACUGCUGGACUUAGCCUUGUGUUUGGAGUGUAUGACAUAGGUCUGAAGUUUUAUGAGGUGUAUAUGCUAUGAUUAACCUGUUUUGUUCUUUUAACAAAAUAAUUCCAUCCAUUUCACUUUGCUUCAAUCUUUAAAUAACAGAAAAGCAAUAUAAAGGUCAUAGAAUAAAAUGUGGUUUUGGGUGA